UACGGAGGGUGCAAGCGUUAUCCGGAUUUACUGGGUUUAAAGGGUGCGUAGGUGGGCAGGUAAGUCAGUGGUGAAAUCUCCGAGCUUAACUCGGAAACUGCCAUUGAUACUAUCUGUCUUGAAUAUCCUGGAGGUAAGCGGAAUAUGUCAUGUAGCGGUGAAAUGCUUAGAUAUGACAUAGAACACCAAUUGCGAAGGCAGCUGGCUACACGAAUAUUGACACUGAUGCACGAAAGCGUGGGGAUCAAACAGG
rnacentral:rRNA from 1 species